AAAAGACAAAGAAAACAGGGCUAUUCAUGUGUUGCUGACUGCCUUUGAAGCUAAGUCUUCUUCUGUGUCUUCUCAUAUUUCCUUGAUCCAGCAACACUGGGUUUCCUUGAGCCUCUGUUAAUGGUCACAGGUCGUGAAGAUCAACCUUUUUGCACCAGGGAAUAUCAUUGGCCUCUCUUUAGCAAGGAGAAAGAAGCUGAUCUCGGGUUGAUGUAACUGUGCAUCACAAGGACUUAGAAAAGCAGGAAGAGACAACUUUGCUUUUCUAGGACUAAUCUAAUGGUCACCACAAUUCACAAAUGCAUGCGCUCAAGAGGAAAGGCUGGAUUUGUUUUUUCUACUCAACCACAAUGAAACAUAAUGAGAAAGAGGGUGACUCAAGAUGAACUUGCUGGAAGAGUCUGGUAACUGCUCCUCUUUCUUGGUAAUUUAUAUCUAAAAUGUAUUGACAGUCUUGUCCCCACUCCUAAAUGUAUUCCAUUUCAUUACUGAGUGCCUCUGGCUGCCCAAAGAAGGCAGCAUCUGAGGCUGUGAUGUUUCAGUUCCUGGUUGUCUUGUUCUUGUAUAUGGCUAUUUGUGUAUAUCAUAGUGGAACUCUAG
rnacentral:sRNA from 1 species